ACACUCCUACGGGAGGCAGCAGUGAGGAAUAUUGGACAAUGGGUGGAAGCCUGAUCCAGCCAUCCCGCGUGCAGGAAGACGGCCCUAUGGGUUGUAAACUGCUUUUAUCUGGGGAUAAACCUACUUACGUGUAAGUAGCUGAAGGUACCAGAAGAAUAAGCACCGGCUAACUCCGUGCCAGCAGCAGCGGUAAUACGGAGGGUGCAAGCGUUAUCCGGAUUUAUUGGGUUUAAAGGGUCCGUAGGCGGACUGAUAAGUCAGUGGUGAAAUCCGACAGCUUAACUGUCGAACUGCCAUUGAUACUGUUAGUCUUGAGUAAGGUUGAAGUGGCUGGAAUAAGUAGUGUAGCGGUGAAAUGCAUAGAUAUUACGUAGAACACCAAUUGCGAAGGCAGGUCACUAAGUCUUAACUGACGCUGAUGGACGAAAGCGUGGGGAGCGAACAGGAUUAGAAACCCUGGUAGUCCCA
rnacentral:rRNA from 1 species